CCUAGACCAAUAAAAUACCAGUAGUACAUAGUAAAGAAUUUUCUAGUCUAGUUUGCUGGUCCCAUCUGCCUUUCAAAAAUGUAAAUUGGUAUAUUGUAUUUUUCAUUUGGUUGUGCAUAUCUCUGUUUUAUAGAAAAGAUAAAAACAAGGUUUGUAAAUAAAUUAAUACAGCAAACUGAA